UGUGCAUUUCUCUGUUCGUCA
rnacentral:piRNA from 1 species